rnacentral:rRNA from 1 species
GUAGGUGGCAAGCGUUGUCCGGAAUUAUUGGGCGUAAAGCGCGCGCAGGCGGUCCUUUAAGUCUGAUGUGAAAGCCCACGGCUCAACCGUGGAAGGUCAUUGGAAACUGGGGGACUUGAGUACAGAAGAGGAAAGCGGAAUUCCAAGUGUAGCGGUGAAAUGCGUAGAGAUUUGGAGGAACACCAGUGGCGAAGGCGGCUUUCUGGUCUGUAACUGACGCUGAGGCGCGAAAGCGUGGGGAGCAAACAGGGAUUAGAUACCCUGGUAGUCCACGCCGUAAACGAUGAGUGCUAAGUGUUAGGGGGUUUCCGCCCCCUUAGUGCUGCAGCUAACGCAUUAAGCACUCCGCCUGGGGAGUACGGCCGCAAGGCUG